rnacentral:rRNA from 1 species
UACGGAGGGUGCAAGCGUUGCUCGGAAUUAUUGGGCGUAAAGGGUAGGUAGGUGGUCUCGUUUGUCUGGGGUGAAAGCCUUGAGCUUAACUCAAGAAGUGCCUCAGAAACGGCGAGACUAGAGUCCUAGAGAGGGUCGUGGAAUUCCCGGUGUAGCGGUGAAAUGCGUAGAGAUCGGGAGGAACACCAGAGGCGAAGGCGGCGACCUGGAUAGGCACUGACACUCAACUACGAAAGCGUGGGGAGCAAACAGG